rnacentral:rRNA from 1 species
UGAGGAAUAUUGGUCAAUGGACGGAAGUCUGAACCAGCCAUGCCGCGUGCAGGAUGACGGCUCUAUGAGUUGUAAACUGCUUUUAUACGAGGGUAAAACUGGGUACGUGUACCCACUUGAAAGUAUCGUAUGAAUAAGGAUCGGCUAACUCCGUGCCAGCAGCCGCGGUAAUACGGAGGAUUCGAGCGUUAUCCGGAUUUAUUGGGUUUAAAGGGUGCGUAGGCGGUAAUUUAAGUUAGUCGUUAAAUCGGAAGGCUCAACCUUCUCAUGGCGAUUAAUACUGGGUUACUAGAGAUUAGAUGCAGAGGGCGGAAUGUGUAGUGUAGCGGUGAAAUGCUUAGAUAUUACACAGAACACCGAUUGCGAAGGCAGCUCUCUAAUCUACAUCUGACGCUAAAGCGCGAAAGCGUGGGGAGCAAACA